UAACAGGGGUCUUUGUGGGCACUCUGCUUGCCCAAGACACUGGGGAGAAGUGGAAGUUGAGAGCAGGGCAGCGCAUGGGGAGUGAGGUGAGAAAAUACGCAGGAAACACUUAUUUCUCUAUGAAAAUAUGAGUCUGAAGAAAGUCAAGAGACUCUACAAACAUUUCUGCAGCCCUCUAUUGGAGAUUUGCAAAGGUCUGCAUGUGCACCCCUUUGGACGUCAAGGGCUUACUGAAUACCAUUUCCACACGGUCUAUCGCUAUGUCAGAGGGCAACUGCUCCACCAUCAUUUCUGAUCCACAGACCUGUUAGAUGUUAGUCUGGAGAAGGAGAAAUAAAACUCAAUGCUGUUAAUUGCA